rnacentral:lncRNA from 10 species
UUGGCUGGACGUAGCAUCCCUGCAUCAUUUUAUCUAGUGCUGACUGCAGCAUGAAUAUGGAUAGGAAUGUCGAGCGUAGGAGAAAAGACAAGAAGACAAGGAAGGAGGUGAGGACGGGGCCAUGAGGACUGCUUCAAUACAUGGCCAGACGGAAAGCCACCAAUAGGAGGAGGAGCCAUGAGGCUCAAGAAGAGGAAGGUAGUGCUGUGUUACGGUCAUUGCUUUGAUCAAUGCUGUCUCAGACAACAGAAUACACUCUAGCUAAUUUAAAUAAAAGACAUGUAUUUAAAGUCACUAGCAAUUCAUAGAAUUGUUGGGAAAAGCAAGGACACAGAGGCUAGGCUGAGCUUCCAGGAAUAAGUGUCAGAGGAGCUGCUGCCUCUGCCAUCAUCAGGGAGUCAUCGAUCUGGAAGCUACAUCCCUGCUCUUGGCUGGAGAACCUUCCUGCCCUGCUGCGAUGCACAGCAGCAAAAAGUGAUGCCUCCAGCCCUGCCUCCCUGCCCAGCAUCUCAGUUUCAAAUGACAGUCCCAGAGAGGGCGCCUGAUGGGUGGAAUUGAAACCUCAACUGGAAACAGUGGAGAGGGAAUAUGGAAAAUGUCAUUUUUAGCUUUCUCUCCACUGCCAGGAAGGUAUGCAAAGCAGGAAUAGAAUGAAUGCUGAAUGAGUCAGCCCACAGUAUCUUCCUCAGAAGGCAAGGAAGGCCAGUGUUUGAAAGAGGGAGUGGUUAGGCUGGCAGUGUCAGAUGAGGCUGAAAGAGACAACGAACCUUUCCGGAAUUUAGUAAUGACAGGACACCUAAACAAAGCUGAACCAAUGCAUCACAGAAGUGGAGUCCUUGAAGAAUGAAUAUAAAGUGUUGGAACCUAAUCCUCAACGUGGUGGUAGGUUUACCACCUGAAGCAGAGAACAGCCCUCACCAGAUACUGAACCAGCUGGUGCCUUAACAUUGGACUUCCAGCCUCCAGAACUGUGAGAUAGACAAGUAAAAUAGUAAAAACUGGAAUGGUUUCAGAAACACUAGAACAUAUGGUACCCAUCCUAGCAAAAUUCAUUGCCAACGCAGAAACCAAAAAUAAUUGGAAUUUUUGGUGAGGUGAAUUUGGAGACACUGCCAAAAAAUGGACUCUUCCCAUCUCUAUGCCUUCUGCUUGCGGUCUCUGGCCAAAUGCUGUCCAUGGAUGAAAAACAAGGUUUCCCAGGAGGUUGCUAAAGUAGACGGCAUCAUGCAGUAGGACGGCCUUGCCCUGCUGAGGAGAAAUGACAAGGCACAUAUGGUGCUCAUUCCUGCAAACGUCAACUCCUUAUUUCAAAACCAAAAAAUGAAAUAAAAUGCUUUUCAAACAUUUAUGCACAGAUCAAUCGAGAAUGUGGUUCCAAGGAUGUGAGUAGGAUGCCGUGAAGCGGUUGUCAGAGUGUCCUGCAUAUCCCCUUGAUAUCUGGACUUCUUCUAGCUGGUGGUGCAGCCAGGGAACUGACUCACGAUCACUGCAGGGCAGCAUGCCUUUCAGCUCACACCAGGAAGACUCUGCAGAUUGAGUAACUUUCUUCCAAGGGGCUGUUAAACUUUAGAUCCUUCGUGACUCACAGAGUGAAGUCUCACAAUAACCAAAGUUUAGACAACAAAAUAUCCUCAAGAGCACUUAUGAUUUUUACAAAAUAUGCAGCCUCUUUGCCUUUACCUUUAAGUGGCCAUUGGCUGUAUUAGUCAGAACAGGCUAGGUUAUGCUGCAGAACAAACAGGACCUGGAAUCCUUCAACAAAGGUAUAAUUUUUGCUCAUGAUAUUUCUCCAGCACAGGUGAGCAGGUAUUGGGGAGUAGUCUGCUCCACAUAGCCACUCAGGAACCCAGGCUAAAUGAGGCUUUGUUGUCUGUAAUGUGGCCAGUGGCCUAGGCAACAGAAGAGCCUGCACAGACAGCUCACAUCUAUAGUUCAGACCAACAGGGCCACAUAUUACUUCUUGUAGUCCAUUGGCCAGGACUACUCAAAUGACCCCAUUUAAUGGCAGGGAGGUUUGACAUGUAGUCUUUCAUGUGCCUGGUGGAGAGAAGCACUAGUAAUAUCUAUUAGAUUUUAGUAUUUCAUCCACUUACUUGAGCCUGUACUAAAUUCUAGACCUUGUGGUGGAUAUAGAUGCAUAUAAAGUACAUUAAUUGCCCUCAAAAUCUGAAGACACUAUAUCUCAGGAUGGAAAAAGUGAGGUUUGAGACUUUGACCACCCAUACUCAAGCAAUUACAUCAUUUGGAAUAUCUCUCUCCCAAAAGAUGGAGAAUGAUUGCCCAGAGGAAUGAUUGCCCAGAGGAAGACAGACUGGACAAUCCCUGACGCGCAAAUCCAGAAAUUUCAUAUGACCCCUACCAUCAAAGGGCUCAGCAAGCACCCUCUUACUAUACCUGCCAGAGCGCAACUACUGUGCCCUGGCAAUCAAAGCGGGGUGGGUGAUGCAGUGUUCAGAGAAGGAUGAGAAAAAGAGGACUAUGUGAAAAGCAAGAAUAUUCUGAUUGAUGACAUAUUUUAGGCUCUGAGGCAGGACUGGAUCUGCUGUCUGUCAGGCCUCAGAGCCCAAGCUAAGCCAUCAUAUCUCCUGUGACCUGCACAUAUACAUCCAGAUGGCCUGAAGUAACUGAAGAAUCACAAAAGAAGUGAAAGUGGCCCGUUUCUGCCUUAACUGAUGACAUUACCUUGUGAAAUUCCUUCUCCUGGCUCAUCCUGGCUCAAAAGCUCCCCCACUGAGCUUGUGACCCCCAUCACUGCCAGCCAGAGAACAACCCCUUUUGACUGUAAUUUUCCUUUACCUAUCCAAAUCCUAUAAAACGGCCCCACCCCUAUCUCCCUUUGCUGACUCUCUUUUCGGACUCAGCCCGCCUGCACCCAGGUGAAAUAAACAGCCUUGUUG